rnacentral:rRNA from 1 species
GAUGAACGCUGGCGGCGUGCCUAAUACAUGCAAGUCGAGCGAACAGACGAGGAGCUUGCUCCUCUGACGUUAGCGGCGGACGGGUGAGUAACACGUGGAUAACCUACCUAUAAGACUGGGAUAACUUCGGGAAACCGGAGCUAAUACCGGAUAAUAUAUUGAACCGCAUGGUUCAAUAGUGAAAGACGGUUUUGCUGUCACUUAUAGAUGGAUCCGCGCCGCAUUAGCUAGUUGGUAAGGUAACGGCUUACCAAGGCAACGAUGCGUAGCCGACCUGAGAGGGUGAUAGGCCACACUGGAACUGAGACACGGUCCAGACUCCUACGGGAGGCAGCAGUAGGGAAUCUUCCGCAAUGGGCGAAAGCCUGACGGAGCAACGCCGCGUGAGUGAUGAAGGUCUUCGGAUCGUAAAACUCUGUUAUUAGGGAAGAACAAAUGUGUAAGUAACUAUGCACGUCUUGACGGUACCUAAUCAGAAAGCCACGGCUAACUACGUG